CCUACGGGAGGCAGCAGUAAGGAAUAUUGGUCAAUGGAGGCAACUCUGAACCAGCCAUGCCGCGUGCAGGAAGAAGGCCCUAUGGGUCGUAAACUGCUUUUGUACCAGAGAAAACCCGAGUACGUGUACUCGGUUGAUAGUAUGGUAAGAAUAAGCAUCGGCUAACUUCGUGCCAGCAGCCGCGGUAAGACGAAGGAUGCAAGCGUUAUCCGGAUUCAUUGGGUUUAAAGGGUGCGUAGGCGGACUGAUAAGUCAGUGGUGAAAUCUCUCGGCUUAAACCGAGAAACUGCCAUUGAUACUGUUAGUCUAGAGUAUAGAUGACGUUGGCGGAAUAUGACAUGUAGUGGUGAAAUACUUAGAUAUGUCAUAGAACACCGAUUGCGAAGGCAGCUAACGAAACUAUAACUGACGCUGAGGCACGAAAGUGCGGGGAUCAAACAGGAUUAGAUACCCUGGUAGUCCGCACCGUAAACGAUGAUUACUCGUUGUUGGCAAUAUGACCGUCAGCGACCAAGCGAAAGCGANAUAUACACNGGAGACGCGCGACGAGACGUAAGUAAGUAGACGCGNGAGAGAGACGACGACGACGACGAGGGAGGAGGAG
rnacentral:rRNA from 1 species